rnacentral:lncRNA from 1 species
AUUUUAUGAUAAUGUACGAAAAGAAUUUUCGAUGUCCACACUCAUCGAAAUGAUGAGUGUUAUUUUCCUCCGCAAGCGCGGGCACAGCGCCCUCUGUUGCUUUUAUCCGUCGUUGAAACUACGUUACAUAACCACAACUGUCAAUUGAAUUUAUUGCGCUUACUAUAACCUGAAAAGUUUAUCAGCAGCCUCCAGAAAUAAUAUAAAAGACGAAUGAAUUACUGCUUACUACUUCUUGAAGGCUGAAUUUGAAUAAAGGUGGCUUGGAAAUUAUUUUUUCAUGGAAUACUCACAAUCUCAAGGUUUUUUUCAAUCUCGUGCUACUUAUUUUUGACUUGUCAUCGCAGAACCUCCACGAUCGGAAAGAUGAUUUUUAACUAUAUUGAAACUAAAUAUUUUCAACACUUUUCAAAAUGUUUAUCUGUAAGUUUGAAAAAUCUUCAAAAUUAUUCUAAACUAUUUAUCGUCACGAACGUGUGAUCCUCAGUAUUUUUUGAUCUGUGAAUCGAUUAUCAGCAUUUAAAAUGAUAAACGAAUUGUGAAAUCAUUUAACCAUUUUGAUUUAUUUUAUUUUUUUUUUUUCAAUAAACUUCAAACAUAUAAUGGCUGUAAAGUUUAACGUAUACAAAUGUGGUGGCUGUUUCCGUUUACCAAACAUUAUACGACAUAUCGUUUCUUCGAUGCUUAUUUAUGCAAUUCAGCAAAAUACACUUGAGUCACCAGCCUCGUUUCUUAUUAACCGCGGUUUAGACUCUUUUUCAACGCUGUUUUUUGGACGGCUGAACAAUUCGACGUGAGAUGGUGCACUUAUCAGCGAACAUUUUUAUUGUGACGCGAAACGACGAUAAGGCACGAUCGUACCGUGUAAUUGACGGAGACCUUCGUUUUUUCUUACAAGCUUCUAUGAUCAUUUUUGAGGAAAGAGACGACGAAAAAUGUUCAACACAACCUUGUCGCCGUAUCUUGUCACUUCGACGACACGUGGCUAUUCGAGGAAUUCAAUUUAUCGCUCAUCAGCAAUAUCUUUGCGGAAAAUCAACGAGUUAUCAUUGCACUUCCGUUCUAUCAGGCUGAAUAGACGAAAUGCAAACGGCAAUGGGGUUCCGGGAAACGUGGGAGCUCGUAGCUCGAGAGGGAUCGAUGGGAGACGUCCGCAUAGGAGUCUGCACCACGCCCAAGUUGGGGGUGCUCAUGGCCCGCCACCAUGACUCACCCCAUGCUUAGUCUGCGCUGUACUGUCCAACUACAUGCCAUAUAUACGUAUAUACAGAUGCUGAGGGAACCCCCAUGAUGAUGGGGAGAGAGCGGAGCUUGGCAACACGAGACUCGACAAUGGAGGGAGCGGGGUAAUGCGAGUCGCGUAAGACGGAUGCGUGAUUGCUGAAAGUUUGUGGAAAAAGAUGGACGAUUUUUUAUUUUUCCUCACUUUUUCACUCAGGCGAAUGAUUUCGAGAGAAGGUUGUGAAAAUUGUGAAAAAACUGGGUUAUGUGGCUACUUUUGCGAUGAUUGACACUCACUAAUUGAUGUAAUCGUAGAAAAUUGUGAAUAAUUCGUGUUGAAAAAUAUUCAUACGUUUUA